rnacentral:lncRNA from 1 species
AUUUUUACGAAUAUUUGUUUGGUUUUUAAUUUAUUUUUAGUUACUAGCUAUUAGCUAUGUGGAUUGCUUUUUAAAUAUUCAUUUGAAUUCAAGUCUAAUAUUCUACAAAGAGUAAUAUGUAGACCAAAAUUUUAGAGCAAAUUUACAAAUCAUAUGCCGUGUCAUCAAAAUGUUUAAUUGGGUGCCCAUUCAUUACUUAUACAUAUUAAUUAAGGGCUUGAAAACAUUAUUUUUUUUUAGUCUCAUAUUGACAAGAUUAGUAAAUAAGAAAAAACACCUCAAGAUUUAUACAAAAACACUUUAAAAGUUCAGAUGAAAAACAAAACUCAUCGUCUAUCUAUAUGUAAGCCCAGAGUUUUUUGGUUUCCUUCUUUGGAUACAAAAUAAAUUAGUCUUUAUGUGUUUCUAAAUUAUUGAGUUUGAAUUGCUUUUCUAAAAUUUUAUCAAUAUCUUAUUUGUGAAAAUAAAUAAUUUUUUUAUAUGAAGUUAGGGAACAUUUUUUGAUGUCACUUAGGCCUCAAAAUUCUAUGGACCGGUCCUGUUGAGUGUAACACAAGGUACAAUUGCGAGGCAAACGAUGACCACCGUGGUAUUGUCUAUCUACUUGUAAGCUCAGAGUUUUUUGGCUUCCUUCUCUCGAUACAAAAUAAAUUAGUCUUUUUGUAUUUCUAAAUUAUUGAAUUUGAACUGCUUUUCUAAGUAUAAUUUUAUCGAUGUCUUACGUGUGAAAAUAAAUAAUUUUCUUAUAUGAAGUUAAAGCACAUUUUUAGGCAUCGUCCUGGACCUCAAAAAUCUAUGGACCGACCUGCACUUGGUGUAUUGGGAAACAUUAAAAAAAAAUUAUAAUAAAUUACCAACAAUAAAAGGGUCAAUAAUGUGUGCGUGGGUAAAAGGGAAACUUGCUUAGCAAUUUAUAUCUUACAAGAAACGCUACGGCACCAUUUUAAAGCUUGGGAGGGAAUACAUGAAACACAAACCUAAAUAGGAAAGAAGGAUUUGGAUCCCAUCCAGAUCUAAAUUGUGGGGAUCCCAUUCAUCGUGCAUUAUGCGGUAAAAAAUCAUUUGAUUUUUUUUAUUUAAAAUUGAACACAAAUAGUACUUGACAAAAACUGACCAUACGAUAUACGAUGAACGACUAAAAUGUGAGAAACCCUAUAAUUCUCACAAAAUGAAUCCGGAGAGAAUUCUCUUCCAAGAAAGAAAAGCGAUUAUGAGAGGAAUUAUUUCACAUGCAAUUCAUGCGUUUCGAUUUUGAAAUUCUUAUGAUUUAAAAAAAUGUUAAAUUUUAAAAUUUUCACAUGCAAUCAUGGGAAUUUCUUCAUAGCAUGAAAUGAAUAUUUGAAUAAUAGAUUCAUGGGAAUUUCUCUUGAAAAAUAAUACGUGAACACUUUAAAACAAAAAUAAAACAGUCCGUACUCUGACAAGGAUCACUGAUAAAUGGUGGUACAUGAUGCUGUCACAUCAGUCCCAUACUCAACGGUCAAGAUUAAAAGGUACGAAUUCCUGGACGGCCCAGAUCGGAGGUUUCCCAUAACACUCCUCCCCUUUCCCCUCUCUUUCCGCAGUUCGGCACAGUGAGUUUCAACUUUCAAAGAAAAAUCUUCUUCUCUCUUUCUCUCUCUACUUUUCUCUCUCUUUGGCUUUUGGGGUUUCAGUCGAAUGAACAGUGAUAGACCAAAAAAAGGAGAAACAAGCUUUGAGUAGCAACAUACAGCUUUGAGCUUCUGCUUCUUCUGCUUCCAUGGCGAUCUUUUAGAGGAGGGCGUGAUGCUUCCAUGGAUGGAGGGGAGGGGUUUCCAGUUUCCUCCAUUUGUGGCUUCAAAUUGUAGAAAAGGAUGGUAAUUUCAUGGAGAAUGAUGGAAAUUUUGGAUAACUUGACCAAGGGUACAGGUCAUAGACGACUUACCCCAAGACAUGUUUGAAAUCCUUACAGCAUUAUCUGUGAAAUUUGUUUGCGAUGUAAUAGGGUUUGCAAGCCCCGAAACAUGUUAAUUAGGCAGUCAUCUUUUAAAAAAAAAAAACUCAAAAAUAUGUCUUGAAAAAUAUCAUGUGAUUAUCUACUACUACUAGUCCACACUCAUACAUAACCACAUGAAUUUUUCGAGACGCAUCUUUUGAGAUAAUAAUUUUUUUUUGAAGAGGACUGCCUAUUAACAUAUUCCAGAACUUGCACACACUUUUGCAUCGCAAGACAGAUUUCACAGGAACAAGGAUUUCAAACAACAUGUCUUGGGGUAAGUCGUCCAUGACCAGUGCCCUUGGUCUUGGUGGCCUCCGUGUGAAAUGUGCCCUUGGUGGCCUCAGUGCGAAAUUGUAAAAAUUGUCAUCGGUGCCUUGCCUUAUUGGGUUUCUUUGUUUUCUUUUGUGUUUUUGAUAAAAUAUGUUCAGAAAACUGCCUCAAGAAGUCUAAUUUAUACAAUUCUUGCACAGUUAAGCAGAGAAAUAUGAUUAGAUAUCCAUUAACAAGUAAAUGUCAGGCAAUUCCAAUUGCCUGAAUUAACCAGAAACCCACCCCAACUAAAGUUCAUGAAAUGAAAUACAAUUCUUGUAGAGUGAUAAGCAGUAUAAUUAAUCAGGUAUCCAAUAACUAGAAGAAGUAAAGCAUACCUCAUUUGUGCAAGUACGUCAACCCGAAAUCGAAACCUGAAAAUCGUUAACAAAUGCAGGAACAAGAAUUCCAGAUCAUCAAAUUCACGGCUGUAUAGAAAAGACCCAAGAACAUGCUUCUUAGCUUGUUGAACUGAUGAGCUUCCCUCUGUGAUCCCAUGGUGGCUUUCUACACAUUCGACCUUGUAACAGCUAUGGAGUUUUAGGGUCUCGUUUCCCCUGGAUUUGUGGUGUAAAAAUCUCUUCAACAACGACGAGCUCUUCCUUAGAGCUGUCUGUAAUUCUCUCCAUGACUCCAACUCCAUCAGAUCCUUCACUUCCAACAAAGCUUGUGCGCGCCCUCUGAUUUCUUCCUCCUUCUGCAAGCGUUUGAUCAGGCGUUAUCAGCUGCAAGUCGAACCCAGAAGCAGCUUCUGUGAAAAGUGUUUCUUUUGCCAGCAGUGCCGCCCAACUUCUUGCUCCUAUUCUUCUUCUCUUGACAUGGAAUUCAAAACCCUUCACUGGUUGUGGCUUCUCCCUCGGCUGAAAAUUCAAAGGGUGGUAUCGGACAACAAGAGAUUGUAGGAUUUAAGUGUUGCAGUAUGGCUGGUUUAAAUGCCAUUGUUGUUCUUCUGCAUAAGAAUCCAGGGCAAACAAACAGUGGAUAUGGAUAGAGACAAAUGUCUUGACUGUGGGAUUAUGGGGAGUGGGUUGGGGUGGAGGGUUGGGCUGGUGUUGGGAUUAGGCCUGGGCAUUUUUACCCUGUAGAUGGUCCAUUUCAUCAAUCUUUUUUUUUUUUGUUUUUCUGAUACACCAUUUCAGUACUUUUCAAUUCAAGAGGUUAUUGGCAAAAAUAAACAAAUACAUAAAUAAAUAAAUUUAAAGAGGUUAGUGUUAUGAUUAUAUUUUAUAAGACAGUUUUGUGUAAGCCUAAGUAGAGUUUAGUUAGGAAUCUUAUGUGAUUCACAAUAUUUCUUAUUAGACUUUGCAUUUAAGGUUAUUAGAUGUGGUCCUGUGCGGACAGGGUCUGGUCAUCAUAUGAUAACCUUAAUAUCCAUUAUCUUGAUUCUAAUCUUGUUCAUCAUGCUUCCACUCGCCUUAUUGAACUUGAUUAACAAUUUGUUUGUGUGAAAGUGGCACUUGGCUAGUCAACGGGGUUAUUAUAUUUCUUAUGCUGACUUGAUUACCAAAGCUCUCAAUCAAUCUCGUCAUGAUAUUUUUUGCUCCAAAUCCGUCGGAUUAGGCUUGUCCAGUUUGCAGGGUGAGCGAGUGUUAUAAUAGAUUUAGUUAAUUCAGAAUCUUAUUCGUAAUAAUAGAAAUGCAAUUUCUUAUUAUAGUAUUUUAAGAUUCCUUUCACAUAUAAAUUUUGUCAAACCCUGUAUAUAUUGUAAGUUAUAUCAUAUUAAUCCAAUGAGUCAUAUUUUACAAUAAGUUUUUUUCUUAAUAAUAGGUUCUAUUGUAGGGUAGGUUUGAAAGUUCUAGUAAAAUCGUUUAGACCUCUAAAAGCACUUCUAACAAUAGACAAUAGUUAAAAACGCCUAUGGUUGAUACAAUUACUUACAUUUUUAUUAAAAAUUUAGAUGUACUUACUACUUAUAAAAAAAGCGCUUAUGAGAGGAAUUAGUUCACAUGCAAAUUGCAUAUGACGCUAUCGCUACUGAAUUAUAAGUUAAUGGGAAUUUCUCUUGAAAAAUAUUACGUAAAACACUUUAAAUAAAAUAAAACAUAGUACGUACGUACUCUGACAAGGACCACUGAGGGAUGGUGGCACAUGGAUGCUGUCACAUCAGUCCCAUACUCAACGGUCGAGAUUAACAGGUACGGAUCCCUGGACGGCCCAGAUCGGAGGUUUCCCAUAACGCGCCUAGGCUCUCUCUCCUUGUAUGAGGUCCAGCUCGGUCGGGACCCUUAUAAGAAGGGAAAGAGUAAAGACCCCCACUCUUUCCCUUUCCCCUCUCUCUCCUCUCUCUCUAUCUCUCUCUCUCCUCUCUGUUCGGCACUGUAAGUUUCAACUUUCAAAGCAAAAUCUUCCUCUUUCUUUCUCUCUCUACUUUUCUCUCUCCCUUUGGCUUUUGGGGGUUUGAAUCGAAUGGACAGUGAUAGACCGGAAAAGGAGGAGGAAAAAGCUUUUUGAGUAGCAACAAUCAGCUUUGAGCUUCUGCUGCUCCUGCUUCCAUGGCGAUCUCUUAGAGGAGAGCGUGAUGCUUCCGUGGAGGGAGGGGAUGGGUUUCCAGUUUCCUCCGUUUGGGGCUUCAAAUUGCAGGAAAGGAUGGCAAUUUUGUGGAGAAUGAUGGAAAAAUUUGGUAACUUGAAGUAGUAGUAUACAGUAGAGUUCAUCUUCUUUCUUGGGUUGUUGAGGGUGGUUCUGCAAAUUAGGGGUUUUCUAUGUGUGAAUUUUUAAAUAUAAUUAGGGAAAGGUUUAGGUUAAUAUUUAUAUAUCUUUAGUGAUAUGAAGCUUUCAGCAUCAGGGCUGGGUCAGCAGGAUCAUGAAGGUAAAAACCCUAUUUUUAUAUAUAUUUUUUUGUUUUGUUUAUUAUAUUUCUGGAGUUUAGGUGUAGUUUUAUUAAGUAUCUGCCAUUAAUUACUAUUA